GAUGAACGCUGGCGGCGUGCCUAAUACAUGCAAGUCGAGCGAACGGACGAGAAGCUUGCUUCUCUGAUGCUAGCGGCGGACUGAUUAGUAACACGUUGAUCUCCUACCUAUACUACUGUGAUAACUUCGGGAAACCGGUGCUAAUACCGGAUGAUAUUUUUCACCGUAUGGUUCAAAAUUGAAAGACUGUCUUCCUGUCACUUAUAUAUGUCUCCUCGCUGCAUUAGCUAGUUGGUAAGGUACCGGCGUACCAAGGCAACGAUGCAUAGCUGACCUGAUAGGGUGAUAGGCCACACAGGAACAGAGACACGGUCAAGACUCCUACGGUAGGAAGCAGGAGAGAAUCAACCGCAAUGGGCGAAUGCCUGAAGGAGCAAAGCCGCGUGAGUGAUGAAGGUCUGAGGAUCGUAAAACUCUGUUAUUAGGGAGGAACAGAUGUAUAAGUAACUGUGUACAUCAUGACGGUACCUAAACAGAAAGCCACGGCUAACUACGUG
rnacentral:rRNA from 1 species